rnacentral:rRNA from 1 species
UACGUAGGGUGCGAGCGUUGUCCGGAAUUAUUGGGCGUAAAGAGCUCGUAGGCGGUGUGUCACGUCGGCCGUGAAAACCUGGGGCUUAACUCUGGGCGUGCGGUCGAUACGGGCAUCACUAGAGUUCGGCAGGGGAGACUGGAAUUCCUGGUGUAGCGGUGAAAUGCGCAGAUAUCAGGAGGAACACCGAUGGCGAAGGCAGCCCCCUGGGCUGAGAUUGACGCUCAGGCACGAAAGCGUGGGGAGCAAACAGG